GAAUCUUGGACAAUGGGGGCAACCCUGAUCCAGCCAUGCCGCGUGAGCGAUGAAGGCCUUAGGGUUGUAAAGCUCUUUCACCGGUGAAGAUAAUGACGGUAGCCGGAGAAGAAGCCCCGGCUAACUCCGUGCCAGCAGCCGCGGUAAUACGGAGGGGGCUAGCGUUGUUCGGAAUUACUGGGCGUAAAGCGCACGUAGGCGGGCUGUUAAGUCGGGGGUGAAAUCCCGGGGCUCAACCCCGGAAUGGCCUUCGAUACUGGCAGUCUUGAGGUCUGGAGAGGUGAGUGGAAUUCCGAGUGUAGAGGUGAAAUUCGUAGAUAUUCGGAGGAACACCAGUGGCGAAGGUGGCUCACUGGCCAGAUACUGACGCUGAGGUGCGAAAGCGUGGGGAGCAAACAGG
rnacentral:rRNA from 1 species